UGAAGUAGUUGGAGGGAUAUGUGCACCCCAAAAAUGCAAGGUGGGAUUGAGUUUAGAGAUUUUUCAAAAUUUAAUAUAGUCUUCUCGGUAAAACAUGGGUGAAAGCUAAUUACCAAUCCAGACAAUAUUGUUGCACAAGUGAUGAAAGCAAAAUAUUACUCACAAGGAGAUUUUAUGAGUGCAAGGUUGGGGUCUUACCCUUUAUUUACUUGGCACAGCAUUUGGGGAGCUCGUAGCCUUUUGGAAAAAGGAAUAAGAUGGAGAAUGGGGAAUGGGGAACUAGUGAACAUCUGGAAUGACGCAUUGUUGUCGAAACCUGGAAAGGGAAGAAUAGAGUGUCAAAACAUAAACAUAAACUACACAACAGUUUCGGACUUAAUUCAUAAAGAAACAUUUAACUGGAAGGUCGAAGAUAUCAACAAUUUAUUCAGUGAUGAGCAAGCAGGAAAGAUACGAUCUGUUCCUUUAGUGAACACUUUACAGACAAACGAAUUUGUAUGGAGAGGUGGUAGCUUUGGAGUUUACACAGCCAAAAAUGGGUACAGGUGGCUAGUAACAGAAGAACAAGGAUUGUUGGGGAAUAAUGAUACAAUAUAGGCCGGAGAUACAAAGAAAUACUUUACAUUUAUUUGGAGCUUAAAAAUACCCAGUAAAAUAAAAAUAAACCUAUGGAAAAUUACAUACAAUUUUAUUCCUACUCUAAGCAACUUGAAGGUUAGAAAAUUAAGAGUUUGCUUCGAGGGAGAGGAAACUGUGGCACAUUGCUUCCAUGAUUGCAAUCUGACUAAGCAGGUUCUCCAAGAGAUUGGGAUAACUUUCUUAUGCACAAUACAGAGCAAGAGUGAGAGCUAUGGUUAGUAAUAGAACUUGGAAAUAAAAUUCCACAAGAUUAUGCCAACAUUGCUAUAACUUUUUGGGCACUAUGGUUCAACAUAAUUAAACUUAUGCAUGAAGGUGUUAAAGACAAUGUGCAGGACAUAGUAGUGUUCAUUAAACCAUACUUAACAGAUCUAACGCAGUUGGAAGAUACAAAAGACAUAAGAUCCACAACAGUGAAGGAAACAUGGGUUCCCCUAGAAGAAGGGAUUGUUAAAGUAAAUUUCGAUGCAUCAUACCAUAAGCAAUCAAAAAAAGGUAUAAGAGGAGUUGUUUUAAAGAAUUCUAAGGGAUUGGUAAUGGGAGCAAGUGUUUACCAGUGGGAAAAUGUUCGGGAUCCCACCACCACCGAAGCUUGGGCUCGUCUUUAGGCUGUCAAUUUUGUAGAGGAUCUAGGCUUUUGAGAGAUCAGAGUUGAGGGAGAAGCAUUAACAAUCAUAAAGAAACUGCAUGCAGAUGAUAUGGAUAAGUUAGAAAUUGCAAAUGUUAUAAAGGAUAUUAAAGCAAGAAUUUCAACAUAUAGACACUUAUCCUUCAGGCAUAUCUCAGAAGUGGUGAACAAUGUAGCUCAUGGGAUGGCAAAAUACGACCACAAAAUUGAAACUCCAGCAUAUUGGAUUGAGGAAGUUCCCUCAGAAAUUGAUCAACUUGUGACAAUGGACAUAAGGGGUUUUCAAAUAGAAUAUUUUAAGAAAGAUUAUUUUUUAAGUUUGGAGAAAUUAAUCAAUACUCCGAAGAGCUCAAUGGGAAAUGGGAUUGGAUGAAAAGAAACGAGUUCAUCGAUACUAUUUCGAAACCAAUCCUCUCUGAUAAGUUGUCGAUGCCAUUGAGGAGAAUGGCUAGGGGGAAGGGUAAAAGGCUAUGUCUUUAAGGAUCUAACUUUAUUUUGUUUUCUUUUAGGGUUUACUUUUGUUUUUAUUAAUUAGGAAUAAAGUUUUGUUUCUUGAC
rnacentral:lncRNA from 1 species